rnacentral:rRNA from 1 species
GUACCAGCUGGUGGAUGGCUCGGCUCAAGCGCUGAUGAAGGACGUGCCAAGCUGCGAUAAGCCUCGGGGAGAUGCAAGGAAUCGUUGAUCCGAGGAUUUCCGAAUGGGACAUCCUGAUGCUACGGCAUCACUCCCUUCGGGGAGGGGAAACGCCCCGAAUUGAAACAUCUGAGUAGGGGCAGGAGGAGAAACCAAUCGGGAUGCCGUGAGUAACGGCGAGUGAAAACGGCACAGCCCAAACCGAAUCCGCAUCCGAUGAGGAUGUGGAGAUGUGGUGUUGCAAGCCGGGCUCAACACCCCACCCAACGAAGCCGAAGUCCCCUGGAAUGAGGCGCCAUAGGGAGUGAUAGCCACGUAGGCGUAAGUUGGAGGGUGGAGCCCGUGCCUUGAGUACCGUGUGUUGGAAUUCACACGGGAAGCUGGGAGACAUCAACUUCCAAGGCUAAAUACGUCUUGAGACCGAUAGCGCAGUAGUAGGGUGACCGAAAGCUGAAAAGUACCCCAAGAAGGGCGGUGAAAAGUGCCUGAAACCAGUUGGUGAUAGUGGGAUACGGCGUGAAAGGACCAGCAGUGCGAAGGAACCCGUCGCGAGGCGGUAGUACGAGCACUGUGUUGCAGCGUCGUAUCAUACGUUUUGAAGAACGGGCCAGGGAGUUUGUCUGAGUGGCGAGGUUAACCACGAAGGUGGGGAGCCGAAGCGAAAGCGACAGGUGCGUAGCGGGUUUUCCCGCAUGGCACGGGGUACUAAAAGUGCCCGAAGUCACUUGGACAAGACCCGGAACCGGGCGAUCUAGGCGUGGGCAGGCUGAAGCGUGGGGAAACCUGCGUGGAGGGCCGAUAGCGGUGCUGAUGUGCAAAUCGCUCGUAUGACCUGCGUCUAGGAGUGAAAGAUUAAUCGAGCCCGGAGACAGCUGGUUCCUCUCGAAACAUGUCGCAGCAUGACCUGGACGGAGACAGUCGGCGGUGUAGAGCACGGAUUGGGGAAGUCGGGAGGGAAACCUCUCGCUCCCCUGUCAAACUCCAAAGCCGCCGUCGUCGUAGAAGUCCGGAGUCCGGGCUGGGGGGUAAGCUUCCAGUCCGUAAGGGGAUAAGCCCAGCCCAUGGUUAAGGUCCCUCAGUGUCGACUAAGUGUUAACGAUAAAAGGUGUCCCAAGCCCAAGACAGCUGGAAGGUUAGCUUAGAAGCAGCUAUCCUUUAAAGAGUGCGUAACAGCUCACCAGUCGAGGUUUGGGGCCCUGAAAAUUGACGGGGCUAAAGUCGACCACCGAUACCAUGGGACGCCGCAAGGCGAUUCAGUAGAGAGGCGUUCUGCAUGGGCAGAAGCAGGGCCGUGAGGUCCUGUGGACCGUGCAGAAACGAGAAUCCUGGCAUUAGUAGCAGCAUAGUUGGGUGAGAAUCCCAACCGCCGAAAGGGCCAGGUUUCCUCGGCAAUGUUCGUCAGCCGAGGGUUAGUCGGUCCUAAGGUGCACCGUAACCCGAGUGCGCCGAAAGGGAAGCAGGUUAAUAUUCCUGCACCACUUGGCGAUAAGUCCUGACGCCUCCGGGUAGGCCGAGCAGGUGUUGCCAGCCUGUUCAAGCGCCGAAGCCCCCGGAGAGCCGUAAUGGCGAGAAGGGGGUGAAUGCGUGAUGACGUAAGUCGGCUGACCCCAGGGGCCCGUGAAAAGGGCAGUCAAGUGGCCGUACCGAGAACUGACACAGGUGUCUCAGGCUGAGAAGGCCCAGGCGUGUCGGAGUACUUUGGCUAAGGGAAUUCGGCAAAUUGGCCCUGUAACUUCGGGAGAAGGGGUGCCUGCUCUGAAGAGAGCAGGUCGCAGUGACCAGGGGGCUCUAACUGUCUAAUAACAACAUAGCAGACUGCAACUCCGUAAGGACUAGUACAGUCUGUGAAUCCUGCCCAGUGCAGGUACCUGAAAACCCGGUUCAACGGGAUGAAGGGCCUGUAAACGGCGGGGGUAACUAUAACCCUCUUAAGGUAGCGUAGUACCUUGCCGCUUAAUUGGCGGCUUGCAUGAACGGAUUAACGACUCCCCCACUGUCCCCGGCCAGAAUCCGGCGAACCCGACUUCCCAGUGAAGAGUCUGGGGACCCCCGUUGGGAAGCGAAGACCCU